rnacentral:pre_miRNA from 14 species
CUUUCAGGUCUUGAUUCUCUGCAAGUGAAAGACCCCCCCGGAGCGGGGAGACCCUCACUCAAGUCUCGGGAUGAUGCGACCCCCCAAAAACUCACAUAAGACC